UCCGGCUAGGUAGAGUUCGAUUGUCGCGUUCUUGCGCAGCCCGUGGGUGACGUACUUCGCCGCCUCGGGGUGCUACACCGUCGGCCGGGA
rnacentral:tRNA from 1 species